GGAGCUCCCCCUGGGCCCUUAGUCCUCCAGGUAUGUCUUACCAACAAGCAGCGAAGCGACGCGCGCCCUUGGAAGGCCCAGCGCUGAAGAGGGUGUGCCCUGGACUACUUGCCUUUAUUCCCACAGCCCCUUCCCAAGAGUCAGAAUCAUAAAACUAGCCUUCUACUAAGUGAAAAGUGGCCCACGGGAGAACAGAAUGAAUUGCAAUCCAGCGGAACAUUUCCAAUCCAGUGUUUCAAGAUCAGGACACCGUGUGCUCGGCCAGGGAUGGUGCGCCCUCGGGUGGCCACCGACACAGCCCAGGGCCAGGGUUCCAGAUGGAUGAACCCAAGGGGGCCAGGCGUGGGGCUGUCCGCUGAACACCCCUGGCCUGGGUGGGCCUCUGCUUUAACCCGAGAUGCCCAUGCUUGCUUUGACUUUGUGUUGAUGUUAUUUCAGUAAAAGAGGAACAGACCAAA